AUGGGGGCAGUGAUAAGGCCCAAGAUUUUCACUGUAUCCAUCCUCCUUUCUUUCUCUCUAGGACCCCUGAGUCCCAGCCUGCAGUGUCACAUACUGCCCCACUCCGCUGCCAACGUUACUGCUGCAGUAAUCCUUUACCCUCUUCCUCCUGUCUCUGUUAUCCACUCACCUUACUUCUAUUCAUUCAAGUUCAUAAGCCUGCAUUUUGGGUAGAGUUAAUUAGAAAUUAAUCAAAAUGAUUAACCUCUGCAUUCCUUCAGCCAAUGAAUCACUUUAAAAGAUGUCAGUGGAAAGCCCCAGGAUACCAUUUUAGGUAAGAUUUUUGUAGUUUAAAAUGCAGAGAAAGCCAAAACCCAGCAAUUUACUAAUCUAAAAUAUUGCCCUAGUUUGGGUACAGUAGCACUGGUAACACUCAUAGAUGUAUUUCAUUUUAUGCAAGAGGCAUUAACAACUUAAAUUUGUUACUAUAGUAAAAUUUAUUUUUCUGUUAUAUAAGGGUAUGUGGGAUCAUAUGUCUCUUUGGAGAUUCUUUGGAGACAUAAGCAGGGAUAAAUAAACUUAGCACAAGAUAUUUUUCAUGUGUCAAAUAUAUGUAAUUUCAGGUGAUAAAUUUAUGGACACAUACCCUAAAUCAGUAGUUCUCAAAGUUUUGUCCCUGUAUUAAUUGCAUAAUAGCACCUGAACUUGUUACAAACUCGAAUUUUAUAAGCCCCACACAAGAUGUACUGAAUUAGAAGCUCACGGGAUCUGGGCAAGCAAUCUGGGCUUUAGUUAGCCUUCCAAGUGAUUCAGAUCCAUGCUCAAGAUAAAUACGGUCCUAAUAAACCAUCAUUGCUAAGAGAGGUCUACCAAUGAAGGUAGCAUUCUCAUACUUUUCAAGUCUUAAAUGUUGAGGAAUCUCUAAUUAAACUUAAAUUUUAUAAGACCUCCAAAGCAAAGAUUGAAACAGCUUUUGUUUUCUGGCUCCAUGAAUUAAAUCCAAACCUUAAAUUUCAUAAAUUAGGCACCAAAAAAAGCAGUUGUCAGAGGGACACUGUAGGGAAUUGGAAAAACUAGGAAUAAUAUGAUUUGCUCUCAAUAAGUGGAGAACCUCCAUAUGCUGCGGGUACAGUCCUAAAAAGGCCAAAAAAAAAAAAAAAAAAAAGCACAUCUGCAAACUAAAGUAAAGAAAAUACAAAGCUACAAAGCACAAUAAUGCCUGUAUAGCCAUAUCACCAAAUUGUGCUCCAGAAAAUCUGCUAUAGUGAUCUCUCACUAUAUGAUAUCUAUCUUUAUAGUUAUACAUAAAUAUAUAUUUAUAUAUUG
rnacentral:lncRNA from 9 species